rnacentral:rRNA from 1 species
GACGAACGCUGGCGGCGUGCUUAACACAUGCAAGUCGAACGGAAAGGCCCUGCUUUUGUGGGGUGCUCGAGUGGCGAACGGGUGAGUAACACGUGAGUAACCUGCCCUUGACUUUGGGAUAACUUCAGGAAACUGGGGCUAAUACCGGAUAGGAGCUCCUGCUGCAUGGUGGGGGUUGGAAAGUUUCGGCGGUUGGGGAUGGACUCGCGGCUUAUCAGCUUGUUGGUGGGGUAGUGGCUUACCAAGGCUUUGACGGGUAGCCGGCCUGAGAGGGUGACCGGCCACAUUGGGACUGAGAUACGGCCCAGACUCCUACGGGAGGCAGCAGUGGGGAAUAUUGCACAGUGGGCGGAAGCCUGAUGCAGCAGCGCCGCGUGCGGGAUGACGGCCUUCGGGUUGUAAACCGCUUUCGCCUGUGACGAAGCGUGAGUGACGGUAAUGGGUAAAGAAGCACCGGCUAACUACGUG